rnacentral:rRNA from 1 species
CCCUUAGAUGUUCUGGGCCGCACGCGCGCUACACUGACGAUGUCAACGAGUCUCUCCUUGGCCGAAAGGUCUGGGUAAUCUUCUGAAACAUUGUCGUGCUGGGGAUAGAUCAUUGCAAUUUUUGAUCUUGAACGAGGAAUUCCUAGUAAGCGCGAGUCAUCAGCUCGCGUUGAUUACGUCCCUGCCCUUUGUACACACCGCCCGUCGCUACUACCGAUUGAAUGGUUUAGUGAGGACUCCUGAUUGGCGCCGCCGCCCCGGCAACGGAGCAGUGGACUGCCGAAAAGUUGUUCAAACUUGAUCAUUUAGAGGAAGUAAAAGUCGUAACA